AGAGUUAAACAGUACGUGAAAUUGUUGAAAGGGAAACGAUUGGAGUCAGUCAUGCUAGUAGGGAAUCAACUUGGUGGUGUGAGUUUAUUUUUUUCUCGCUCUUCCUCGUGUACUUUCUUGCUUGGUAGAUUAGCAUCAAUCAAAUAAUUGGGGAAAUGUGGCUUCUCUUCGGAGAAGUGUUUAUAGACCCUGAUAGCUGUGGCGACUGGGAUUGAGGAUUGCAGCGGAUACCUUUAGGUUAGUCACCUGUCUUCUGAAGGUCACCUCGCUUUCAACAGCUUGCUGAUGAUUGUAGGAUUUGGCAGUCUAGAAGGUAGAAUGAUUAUAAAUUCGCUAAGGAUGCUGACGUAAUGGCUUUAAACGA
rnacentral:misc_RNA from 1 species